GACGAACGCUGGCGGCGUGCUUAACACAUGCAAGUCGAGCGGAAAGGCCACUUCGGCGGUACUCGAGCGGCGAACGGGUGAGUAACACGUGAGUAAUCUGCCCCUGGCUUUGGGAUAGCCACCGGAAACGGUGAUUAAUACCGGAUACGACCACUUCUCGCAUGGGAUGGUGGUGGAAAGUUUUUUCGGCCAGGGAUGUGCUCGCGGCCUAUCAGCUUGAUGGUGAGGUAAUGGCUCCCCAUGGCUUCGACGGGUAGCCGGCCUGAGAGGGUGACCGGUCACACUGGGACUGAGACACGGCCCAGACUCCUACGGGAGGCAGCAGUGGGGAAUAUUGGACAAUGGGCGGAAGCCUGAUCCAGCAACGCCGCGUGAGGGAUGACGGCCUUCGGGUUGUAAACCUCUUUCAGCAGGGACGAAGCGCAAGUGACGGUACCUGCAGAAGAAGCACCGGCCAACUACGUGCCAGCAGCCGCCGUAA
rnacentral:rRNA from 1 species